UACGUAGGGUGCAAGCGUUAAUCGGAAUUACUGGGCGUAAAGCGUGCGCAGGCGGUUUUGUAAGACUGUCGUGAAAUCCCCGGGCUCAACCUGGGAAUGGCGAUGGUGACUGCAAGGCUAGAGUUUGGCAGAGGGGGGUAGAAUUCCACGUGUAGCAGUGAAAUGCGUAGAUAUGUGGAGGAAUACCGAUGGCGAAGGCAGCCCCCUGGGUCAAUACUGACGCUCAUGCACGAAAGCGUGGGGAGCAAACAGG
rnacentral:rRNA from 1 species